AUUGAACGCUGGCGGCAGUCCUAACCCAUGCAAGUCGGGCGAGAUGCGGACGGGUGAGUACUGUAUGGGGAUCUGCCUGAUGGAGGGGGAUAACUACUGUACGCGGUAGCUAAUACCGCAUACCAUGAGAUGAACCCAUAUGGGUUUAGCUUGUAGGGGAGGUAAGGGCUCCCCUGGGCGACGAUCCCUAGCUGGGCUGAGAGGAUGAUCAGCCACACUGUGACUGAGAGACGGUCAAGACUCCGACGGUAGGCAGCAGUGGGGAAUAUGGCACAAUGGUCGCAAGCCUGAUGCAGCCAUGCCGCGGGUAUGAAGAAGGCCUUCGGGUUGUAAAGUACUUUCAGUCGGGAGGCGUUACCUACAGAAGAAGCACCGGCUAACUCCGUGCCAGCAGCCGCGGUAAUUC
rnacentral:rRNA from 1 species